rnacentral:lncRNA from 1 species
AUUUCUCAUUUUUGCCUUGAUGCUGCUCAUGCACCUUAGCUUUGCAACACUCUUGCUGACUCAUGACAACACUCUUGUUGUCAAGUCGAGCUCAAUUGGCAGAGAUCUAACAAACCACCCACACCCUUUGAAACUCGACAUCCUCGUCGAGGUCAACUCAAUUUAUGAGUCCUAAGGGGUUGACAAUCUACGCCCCUUGACCCCCUCUCUCUUCAGCUACAACUGCAUUGACACCAACAACUUGUUUAUCACUAUUCAGCGCCUCCAAUGCAACCCUCUUCUCCGCGGUAGUCAUAGUAUUUAACACUGCCUUGUUUGGACAGUCCCUCGCUCGGUGUGGUCUAUCACAAAGGAAACAACCACUGAAUUUGCUGGCAUUCUCCUUGCUCUUUGAAGUUCCAGGCUCAUGCUUUCCCUUCCCUUUAUCUUCAUGUGCAUUGCCACUUUCACAUUUCUUCCACUCCUUUGCCUUGUCCUUCCUUCCGUUGUUGGAAUUUGAAAUAGAAGUCUCAUCACUCAAGUGAAAAUUUCCCAAUGCAUCAGUUGCAGCCACACCACUUGUGAGGUAUUGAAUAUUCUGCCUUCACAACUCAAGUUGUGCCCACUGUUGCAGCCCGCUCAUGAAGUUGUGCAACUUAUCUUCUUCCGACAUGUUGCUGAUGCUCAACAUCAAAGAUGUUAACUCUUUC